UAUUUCUCUUAUUGAUAUGGAAAGCAAUGUGCAUUUUCUUGAGAUUUUCUGCAGUUUGUUCUUCCUGUCACGUGGUCUUAUGGGCGGAAAUAUGGAGUAACUUUAGAACAGUUAGCUUCAUGGUGGAGUGAGAGACCUGCCAAGCUUGCUGGACAAGUUUCAAAGGUACAAAUUAAUUUAUCAAGUCAAUAAUUCCGCUAAAGUAACAGCCAGGGUACGUAUUAGAUGAUACCAUAUUUUUCACUCCACGUUAAUCUGAAAUACCUUUUGCAGGGUGCCAUUGCAAUUGGAAAUCAUGCAGACCUAGUUGUAUGGGAACCUGAAGCGGAGUUUGAACUUGACAAUGACCAUCCUGUACACAUGAAGCAUCCUGUAUGUAAUCGUAUAUAUUCUUCUUCUUACAGCGACAGCCGACAGUCGUGAAAACAGCAAUUGCCCUUGUUUUCUGAUUUCUGUAAUAUCUAUUAUAUGCAGAACAUCUCCGCCUAUUUGGGAAGAAGACUCUCUGGGAAAGUACUGGCCACAAUUUCAAGGGGAAACCUCGUAUACAAAGAGGGAAAUCAUGCUCCUGCAGCUUGUGGUUCUCCAAUCCUGGCAACAUGAACAUACGAAUUAGAAUUAAUAUGUAAUUUCCCAUAACUAACCUCGAAAAGUUAUUUUAAUCUCUCUAAUUAGAUUUUCUUUUCCCCUUGUUGUGUGUUUCUUCAAUUAUCGACUUCGAAUUACCUCAUCUCUUCACACUGUUGUUCUCUCCAGAUUUCUCAUAGGUAGAGGAUUAAUCUCACUUGCUUCAUCAAAAACACCAUCUCUGUGAAGGAGGUAGAGUUUCCACCGCCCCAGGAGCUGAUGGGGUUGAAUGGCGUUAUAAAUUUG
rnacentral:lncRNA from 1 species